CGAACUCUGGUAUUGAUUGGUGCUUGCAUCAUGAUUUACAUUUGAGUGAGUGGCGAACUGGUGAGUAACACGUGGGAAACCUGCCCAGAAGCGGGGGAUAACACCUGGAAACAGAUGCUAAUACCGCAUAACAACUUGGACCGCAUGGUCCGAGCUUGAAAGAUGGCUUCGGCUAUCACUUUUGGAUGGUCCCGCGGCGUAUUAGCUAGAUGGUGGGGUAACGGCUCACCAUGGCAAUGAUACGUAGCCGACCUGAGAGGGUAAUCGGCCACAUUGGGACUGAGACACGGCCCAAACUCCUACGGGAGGCAGCAGUAGGGAAUCUUCCACAAUGGACGAAAGUCUGAUGGAGCAACGCCGCGUGAGUGAAGAAGGGUUUCGGCUCGUAAAACUCUGUUGUUAAAGAAGAACAUAUCUGAGAGUAACUGUUCAGGUAUUGACGGUAUUUAACCAGAAAGCCACGGCUAACUACGUGCCAGCAGCCGCGGUAAUACGUAGGUGGCAAGCGUUGUCCGGAUUUAUUGGGCGUAAAGCGAGCGCAGGCGGUUUUUUAAGUUUGAUGUGAAAGCCUUCGGCUCAACCGAAGAAGUGCAUCGGAAACUGGGAAACUUGAGGCAUGUAGGCGAGUUGCAGCCUACAAUCCGAACUGAGAAUGGCUUUAAGAGAUUAGCUUACUCUCGCGAGUUCGCAACUCGUUGUACCAUCCAUUGUAGCACGUGUGUAGCCCAGGUCAUAAGGGGCAUGAUGAUUUGACGUCAUCCCCACCUUCCUCCGGUUUGUCACCGGCAGUCUCACCAGAGUGCCCAACUUAAUGCUGGCAACUGAUAAUAAGGGUUGCGCUCGUUGCGGGACUUAACCCAACAUCUCACGACACGAGCUGACGACAACCAUGCACCACCUGUAUCCAUGUCCCCGAAGGGAACGUCGUGGUUUAUUCGAGCUACGCGAAGAACCUUACCAGGUCUUGACAUACUAUGCAAAUCUAAGAGAUUAGACGUUCCCUUCGGGGACAUGGAUACAGGUGGUGCAUGGUUGUCGUCAGCUCGUGUCGUGAGAUGUUGGGUUAAGUCCCGCAACGAGCGCAACCCUUAUUAUCAGUUGCCAGCAUUAAGUUGGGCACUCUGGUGAGACUGCCGGUGACAAACCGGAGGAAGGUGGGGAUGACGUCAAAUCAUCAUGCCCCUUAUGACCUGGGCUACACACGUGCUACAAUGGAUGGCACAACGAGUUGCGAACUCUCUAGAGUAAGCUAAUCUCUUAAAGCCAUUCUCAGUUCGGAUUGUAGGCUGCAACUCGCCUACAUGAAGUCGGAAUCGCUAGUAAUCGCGGAUCAGCAUGCCGCGGUGAAUACGUUCCCGGGCCUUGUACACACCGCCCGUCACACCAUGAGAG
rnacentral:rRNA from 2 species